AUCCUGGCUCAGGAUGAACGCUGGCGGCGUGCUUAACACAUGCAAGUCGAACGAAGCAUUUGCGACAGAUUUCUUCGGGAUGAAGUUGCUUAUGACUGAGUGGCGGACGGGUGAGUAACGCGUGGGUAACCUGCCUUGUACUGGGGGAUAGCAGCUGGAAACGGCUGGUAAUACCGCAUAAGCGCACAAUGUUGCAUGACAUGGUGUGAAAAACUCCGGUGGUAUAAGAUGGACCCGCGUCUGAUUAGCUAGUUGGUGAGAUAACAGCCCACCAAGGCGACGAUCAGUAGCCGACCUGAGAGGGUGACCGGCCACAUUGGGACUGAGACACGGCCCAGACUCCUACGGGAGGCAGCAGUGGGGAAUAUUGCACAAUGGAGGAAACUCUGAUGCAGCGACGCCGCGUGAGUGAAGAAGUAAUUCGUUAUGUAAAGCUCUAUCAGCAGGGAAGAUAGUGACGGUACCUGACUAAGAAGCUCCGGCUAAAUACGUGCCAGCAGCCGCGGUAAUACGUAUGGAGCAA
rnacentral:rRNA from 1 species